GACAGUUCAAAGACGUAAAAUGCUAUGGCGCUAGCUGCUUAGAGUAAGAGAAGAAAUGGAUCCUUCCAAUCUUGACUAACUUAAUCUAGAAGGCGAACUAGGGUUUUGGGGCGACCUUGCUAGUCACACCUUCUCAGAUAUACUUGACAUUAAUGCUACAUAGACUCGUUAAGGGUGCCAGGUAUGGAAGUUUAUUAAGGUGUCUGAUUUUCCAAAGGUUUCUUAUUUAGGAACUAAGGAAACCAAAAGAUCAUUAGCAUUGACUUUGAUAAAUAAAUGAAAAAAAGAUCAUUAACACUAAUGCGAGGUUCUGACUGAUAGGCGAGCAAAUUAAGGUUAAAUGUCUCUGAUUUUUCACUAUGAAACUUCUCAACUGAGAUGUGAAUGGUCUUUUACCUGGACAGAGAUAUUUGUUGUGGUAACAUUAAAAAAUUAGGAAAAAAUGUGGCUUAGUCUCGAGACUAUAUUGAGGUGCAGGUACAAGUUCAGCUAUGCAUCAUCAACGUCAAGGAAACAUAGUCCUUAACCACGUGUGUCAUCAAGCAACUACUCUCAUCUCCAUUGGUUCAGAACUAGCGAAGGAUUAAAACAAAAGAAAAGGCCAGCAUGGCUGUUGAAUCAGCUGCUGUUGCCGAGUGCAGUCCACGGGAUUUGUCAACAGAGAAGCUCAUUCCUUGGAAGAUGGAUCCUUAGGAUAGGUAUAUUCUUUUCUAUCUGCAGUUUCCCUGAUUAAGCCCAUUAUCAAAAUUCUUUCCAUCCAUAUUGCAAGUCCUUUUUGUUCCUAGUACAAAUAGAACCUAACUAAUACUUAUUAUUAGAUUUGAGAUUGUUAGAUUACAUAUUUAUUAGAUAUUAGCAUUGGACGGAAACAUAGUCCUUAACCACGUGUGUCAUCAAGCAACUACUCUCAUCUCCAUUGGUUCAGAACUAGCGAAGGAUUAAAACAAAAGAUAAGGCCAGCAUGGCUGUUGAAUCAGCUGCUGUUGCCGAGUGCAGUCCACGGGAUUUGUCAACAGAGAAGCUCAUUCCUUGGAAGAUGGAUCCUUAGGAUAGGUAUAUUCUUUUCUAUCUGUAGUUUCCCUGAUUAAGCCCAUUAUCAAAAUUCUUUCCAUCCAUCUUGCAAGUCCUUUUUGUUCCUAGUACAAAUAGAACCUAACUAAUACUUAUUAUUAGAUUUGAGAUUGUUAGAUUACAUAUUUAUUAGAUAUUAGCAUUGGACGGAAACAUAGUCCUUAACCACGUGUGUCAUCAAGCAACUACUCUCAUCUCCAUUGGUUCAGAACUAGCGAAGGAUUAAAACAAAAGAUAAGGCCAGCAUGGCUGUUGAAUCAGCUGCUGUUGCCGAGUGCAGUCCACGGGAUUUGUCUCUAGAGAAGCUCAUUCCUUGGAAGAUGGAUCCUUAGGAUAGGUAUAUUCUUUUCU
rnacentral:lncRNA from 1 species